ensembl:lncRNA
GGGGGGUGGUGAUAGCGGAGGACACAGAGGAGCGGCCGAUGGCGCUCACUUACACAAUGAUUGUCUAUUCAGUGAGAUGCGUCACAAAGCCGCCCGGCGGAGAUCAAACGGAGGCGCGCGCGGGGCCGAUUAGCAUGUGGUUCCGAGCGAGACGGAGCCAACGCGAGCCAGUGCGAGCCAAUGCGAGCCAGGUCACGGGAACGCAACGCGUCAGAGCCCACUCAAUACAACUUCUCAUUCCCUCACCAUCUCCAGCAUACGUGGACGCGCUUUCGUGCGUGGGCGAGGAGCGUACGUGAGCAUGACUGUGUGUGUGUGUGCGCUCCCAUAUUUCUUGAAUCAUGUGACUCGACACGAGCAGUCAUGCACGGUGUGAAAGGCCCCGCUAUAAAUAGGAGGACAGUGUUGGGUUUCCCAGCCCAGCAUUGUAGGAGUCGGGUCAUCUUUGUCCCACAAGAAAGCGCGAGGCGCUGACCGGCGGCCUUUCUAUUUGCUGGAGGUGUUAAGAGUCUGGAGGUGAAGUCAGGACACCAGCAGCAGUUCUGUUUGCGCAGUUCCGCUCUUUUCCUUUUUUUUUUAAUGAUGUGUGCCAGGCAUGAGAGUUUGCUGCAAAGAUCCAGGCUUUGAUAACUAGCGUUUUAUCUCAUUUUCUGAAUGAAGUCAUUGUGAAGAAGACUAGUGAGUCAGCGGGUUAACGGCUCGGUACUUUAGUUUAACAACACCUCGAUGAUGAUGUCAUUAGAUUCAGAUACAUUAGUUGCAGUGAUCUUCUUUAUAUGUUCGUAUCAUUAAUAUAAAAGCCCCCUUUGACCUGAACAUGUCACAAUUCCAAAAAAUACCGUAUGAUUGAGGAGAAUAAUAUAACUUGAAUAAUACCUCCAUGUUUCCAACUAUUGACAAAAUACACAUUUAAUGUCUAAACAUGACCGCAUGUCACAGCUCCUUGUCUAAAUCUACAGAAAAGUAAUGAACACUAUUAUGAAAAUAUGUUAUAUUUGAUGGUUCACAUGUAAAAGACAAUCUGCAAACUAAUCCUUUUUCAUAAAAAGUAAAAAUGACCAACUCUGAUCUUAACCAACAACACAUACACUUAAGUAAGUGCUUGCAACAAACAGUGUGCAGGAAAAGAAAGAGAAAGUCUAAAUCAAACUAGUAACUAUCUGGAUCAAGCUCCAAAAACAUUGACUCCUACAUUCCCCCGAAUAAAAUACGUAGAUUUCUGCCUAGCCGCUUGCCUCAGGCUGAACUCAACUCCCCCGUAGAGACACAGAAGACAUGUAGAUGUUUACGGGCUUUUGGUCGUAAAAUUUGGGAAGUCUCCCCUUAACCAAACCAAAACUCUGAAAAUGCAUUUCAGUGAAUACAAAAUAAUGGAUAGACACUUUUGGCUUUCUUGAAGGAAUUGUACUUUCUUGAUUCUUGUUGUACCUGCCAAGCAACAGUACAUUAGCAUGUUAGCACACUGAUAUUAGCAUUUAGCUAAACACACCAUUGGGACAGCUAGCAAUGUUCGCAUGUUCACUUUAAACAGCACAGUUAUACACUGAGGUGGGAUUGGGACAGUUUGAAUCUGUAGCUGUAUUGAGAUUCAUUUGAUAUUAUUUAGAUAUUGCAAAAUACCUUUCUCAAUGGCCUGCAUUAUUUGAGAUUAUGAAGCAGAUCAAUACUGGCUGACAUUUUUGUCAAAUGGUUAGUCAGUGCUGCAGUUCAAUACCAUUGAUUAUCAUUUAUUUUCUUCACUAAUGAUUCGCUUUAACACUUACAUAAAUCAAAGUCAAAUACCCCAUAUAGCUGACAUUACUGCUCAGGUCUUGACGUAGUAAAGGUUGGAAUGAUGCUAAUUAAAUAUUGCAAGCAUUUCGUAGCUCAAUACUCACGGCAACAAUCAAUUCCACAUCAUGAGGCGGCAUGAAAAGAAGCUGUUAUGAAACACAAGUGCAGGCAGACGUUAUCGCCGCGCUUUGCCUAACUUCCUGGAACCACCGGGCCUUUUUAAAAAAUCAGCAGCAGGCUAAAGAUUAACAGAAUCUUCUCACCGAGUGAACCCGCCUGAGGUUCAUUAUAUCAGAAUAUUUAGAGAGCUAAAUCUGUUCUCUUUCUACGUUCGGGUUCUGAAUCGAUACAAGGACUGAAACUUGUUCAAGUAAGUUACAAUUUAAACCAAAUUAAUGUGCUUGUUUUUCAUAGAGCCUGAACCAGAAGUAGAUGGUUCGGUGGCGAAGUCUAUUCCUAAACCAGCUUUAACAGCUUUAAGGGUCAAAGGUCAAGAGUCCCCUUUGACCCCUAGUGUCACCAAAAUAUAACCUGAGGGCAGAUGAGCCGGAGCUUUUCAAGGAUGUAAGAAACCAUUGUAUGACCGGCCAGUAGAAUGUUUCCCACGUGGACAAAAGGUAACUCAAAUGGAUCACAGAGGGCGUAAUGAGGAAUGAUCUCAGAAAGAUGCAGUUCCUGCAAAGCUGUUACACAUUUUCUAACACUGGGGAUAUGGCCAGCAGAGAGAAGAGGAGAGAGAAGAAGAAAAAAAAAAUGUCACAAUGAGACACAGUGUCUCCAAGCAGACGCAGUGGCCAAAAUAUCACAGGUCUGGCUCAUGAGUGCGGGUCCGCCCCGCUCCAGCGCAGGUUGCUUUUGGGCUGGCAGGUUGUUCCACUGCAGUGUGUGUGAGAGGAGAAGCCUUUUUCGUUUUCCCUCCGGAGUGGGCAGGGCCGCUGGUGCUAACAUAUGUAAGCUCCACAGGGGUCUGUGACGGCACACACCGGCUAUCUGGACAAUGCAACCGUCAUUAACCUCUCGCCUCCCUGCGUCUCGGCCUCACUGCGUUUUGUUCAGGCCUCCGUCGCCGCUCUCCCUCUCGCCUCUCCUUCCCUCUUUGUCUGGGCCACGCUAUCUUCAUCCCCUGCUGGUCCGUCUCCCCCGUCCUCCUCCCCGCGUAUGUCUCCCUCUCUCUCUCUCUUUUCUCUCCCC